rnacentral:rRNA from 1 species
CCUACGGGUGGCAGCAGUCGAGAAUCAUUCACAAUGGGGGAAACCCUGAUGGUGCGACGCCGCGUGGGGGAAUGAAGGUCUUCGGAUUGUAAACCCCUGUCAUGUGGGAGCAAAUUAAAAAGAUAGUACCACAAUAGGAAGAGACGGCUAACUCUGUGCCAGCAGCCCCGGUAAUACAGCGGUCUCAAGCGUUGUUCGGAAUCACUGGGCGUAAAGCGUGCGUAGGCUGUUUCGUAAGUCGGGUGUGAAAGGCGGGGGCUCAACCCUCGGACGGCACCUGAGACUGGGAGACUAGAGUAUAGGAGGGGGAACCGGAAUGCUCGGUGUAGCAGUGAAAUGCGUAGAUAUCGAGAGGAACACUGGUGGCGAAGGCGGGUUCCUGGACAUUAACUGACGCUGAGGCACGAAGGCCAGGGGAGCGAAAGGGAUUAGAUACCCUUGUAGUC